UUAAAGGCGACGACGGAGAAAAGUAGUCUAUUUAUUACCUUUCAGGGAGGAAGAGUCUCGACUGAAAACUCUUCUAUGUGUGAUGAUAGGUGAAGUUCCCUCCCGAGCUUCCGGCUUAACGUUAAAAACAAGUAGGCUAGGACGGUUCUUCACCGUUAACAGGAAGGGGGUAUCGGUAUUAUUCCCGUACCUUUGUUGAGUGGCCAUUUUGGCUAAGUUGGGUGGUAACACGAGAUAUAACUUCUCGUCCCUACA
rnacentral:ncRNA from 1 species